GCCGAAGUGGUGGAACUGGUAGACGCGCUGCGUUCAGGGCGCAGUGGGCGCAAGCCCGUGCGGGUUCGAGUCCCGCCUUCGGCA
rnacentral:tRNA from 2 species